GAUGAACGCUGGCGGCGUGCCUAAUACAUGCAAGUCGAGCGAACAGACGAGGAGCUUGCUCCUCUGACGUUAGCGGCGGACGGGUGAGUAACUCGUGGAUAACCUACCUAUAAGACUGGGAUAACUUCGGGAAACCGGAGCUAAUACCGGAUAAUAUAUUGAACCGCAUGGUUCAAUAGUGAAAGACGGUUUUGCUGUCACUUAUAGAUGGAUCCGCGCCGCAUUAGCUAGUUGGUAAGGUAACGGCUUACCAAGGCGACGAUGCGUAGCCGACCUGAGAGGGUGAUCGGCCACACUGGAACUGAGACACGGUCCAGACUCCUACGGGAGGCAGCAGUAGGGAAUCUUCCGCAAAGGGCGAAAGCCUGACGGAGCAACGCCGCGUGAGUGAUGAAGGUCUUCGGAUCGUAAAACUCUGUUAUUAGGGAAGAACAAAUGUGUAAGUAACUAUGCACGUCUUGACGGUACCUAAUCAGAAAGCCACGGCUAACUACGUG
rnacentral:rRNA from 1 species